CCCUGCCAUUUGUACACACCGCCCGUCGCUCCUACCGAUUUCGAGUGGUCCGGUGAACCUUUUGGACUGUGCGGCCCUCGUGGCUGCGCGGAAAAUCAAGUAAACCACAUCACUUAGAGGAAGGAGAAGUCGUAACAAGGUUUCCGUAGGUGAA
rnacentral:rRNA from 1 species